CCUACGUGAUGCAGCAGUGAGGAAUAUUGGUCAAUGGGCGGGAGCCUGAACCAGCCAAGCCGCGUGAGGGAAGAAGGUACAGCGUAUCGUAAACCUCUUUUGUCAGGGAACAAAGGCGGGGACUAGUCCCCGGAUGAGGGUACCUGAAGAAAAAGCAUCGGCUAACUCCGUGCCAGCAGCCGCGGUAAUACGUAGGGGGCAAGCGUUAUCCGGAUUUACUGGGGGUAAAGGGAGCGUAGACGGUUAUGUAAGUCUGGAGUGAAAGCCCGGGGCCCAACCCCGGGACUGCUUUGGAAACUGUGUAACUGGAGUACAGGAGGGGCAGGCGGAAUUCCUGGUGUAGCGGUGAAAUGCGUAGAUAUCAGGAGGAACCCCGGCGGCGAAGGCGGCCUGCUGGACUGAAACUGACGUUGAGGCUCGAAAGCGUGGGGAGCAAACAGGAUUAGAUACCCUAGUAGUC
rnacentral:rRNA from 1 species